GAUGAACGCUAGCUACAGGCUUAACACAUGCAAGUCGAGGGGAAACGAUAUUGGAAGCUUGCUUCUGAUAGGCGUCGACCGGCGCACGGGUGAGUAACGCGUAUCCAACCUGCCCAUCACUUGGGGAUAACCUUGCGAAAGUAAGACUAAUACCCAAUGACGUCUCUAGAAGACAUCUGAAAGAGAUUAAAGAUUUAUCGGUGAUGGAUGGGGAUGCGUCUGAUUAGCUUGUUGGCGGGGUAACGGCCCACCAAGGCGACGAUCAGUAGGGGUUCUGAGAGGAAGGUCCCCCACAUUGGAACUGAGACACGGUCCAAACUCCUACGGGAGGCAGCAGUGAGGAAUAUUGGUCAAUGGACGAGAGUCUGAACCAGCCAAGUAGCGUGCAGGAUGACGGCCCUAUGGGUUGUAAAACUGCUUUUAUAAGGGAAUAAAGUGAGUCUCGUGAGGCUUUUUGCAUGUACCUUAUGAAUAA
rnacentral:rRNA from 1 species